CGUGUGGCUGCCAGCUCACCAAAAGAGAUCACAUAGUUUGGCCCGGCAAAGGACCAGACCACAGCCAGGGACUGCAGGGGUAGUGAGGAGGGCAUGCGGCUGAAACAUACCAGCUCCAGCUCUGCAGAGCCCAGCAGCGGGAUCUGGGAGACGCUGCCGGACAAAGAGUGUUCAUUACCUUCCAGCCAAACCGCUCUGUGCUCCUCGGAGCCAGCCUUCUUCUGAGCAAGGCCCUUAACACCCCUUCUUGUUGAGCUGCCUCUGCUCUCCCUGGAUCCUCUUGGCUUAGCACCUCUCCAGCCCCUCCCAACUGGACCUCUCCUGGGACAGCAUGUGCUCUGCAUGGAAUAACAAGGUUAAAUGGACAAGGCUGAAUGGCCCUGUGAUGGGGAGUGCCUUUAAGCCACAUGACGGAAAUGAAACAGGAGCCAUAAUGACCAUGACUGGAGGAGAAUCAGAUUCUGGCCUGGCCUGGUUCUGUGAGAUACCUUAAAUCAUACUUUCUGUAGCAUCCCUUAAAGAUAUCACCUCCAUAGGAAGCUGUCUCUCUGCUUUAGAGCAAGAAUCAACAAACUUUUUCUGUAAAGAGCCAGAUAGUGAGUAUUUUAAGCCUUGAGACUCACACAGUCUCUGUUGCAACCCCUCAACUCUGCCAUUGUAAAGCUAUAGCAGCUACAUACAAUCCAUACAUAAACGGGCAUGGCUGUGUUCCAAUAAAACUUUAUUUAUGCACAAAGGCAGCAGGCUUGAUUUGGGCAUGGCCUGUAGAUUAUUGACCCUUGCUUUAGAGUUACACUUUAUACAUUUAUCGCUGAGGCAAAAGUUAAGUCUCUAGAUGUGAAAAUCCGUGGCUUCCAAGUGAGAGCAGUAUAUGGAUGUAGUUAGUUAGACUGGACACAAGGUUGGUGAUACAGGUGAAUCUGCCUAAUGUAGCAUAUGAUACUGCUUAGAGUUAUUUUAUUUUUAAUUAAUUAAUUUAUUUAUUUUUGAGACAGUGUCUCACUCUGUCACCCAGGCUGGAGUGCAGUAGCGCAAUGAUAGCUCACUGCAGCCUUGACCUCCCUGGCUCAAGUGAUCCUUCCACCUCAGUCUCCCGAAUAUCUAGGACUACAGGUGCACACCACCACACCCAGCUAAUGUAUUUUUGUGUGUGAAUACAGGGUUUUGCCAUGUUGUCCAGGCUAAUCUCAAACUCCUGGGCUUAAGCGAUCCACCCACCUCCACCUCCCAAAGGGCUGGGAUUACAGGUGUGAGCCACAUAGCCCAACCUAGAGUUAUUUUAGAUUCUCGUCAUCCCAGUUAACUGAAAGAACUGCCUGCUAAAG
rnacentral:lncRNA from 1 species